AUCACGAGUCAACAACGUCCUUAACGUGUGCAUGGACUCUCGUAAGCAUGAACUUGGAGUCCAUACCUUACAAAAGUAUGGAUUUAAGUUCAUGCUCACGAUAUCCAAGCGCCCGCUAAGGUCGCAAGGAUUUAUUGAU